AUUGAACGCUGGCGGCAGGCCUAACACAUGCAAGUCGAGCGGAUGAAGGGAGCUUGCUCCUGGAUUCAGCGGCGGACGGGUGAGUAAUGCCUAGGAAUCUGCCUGGUAGUGGGGGAUAACGUCCGGAAACGGGCGCCAAUACCGCAUACGUUCUGAGGGAGAAAGUGGGUGAUCUUCGGACCUCACGCUAUCAGAUGAGCCUAGGUCGGAUUAGCUAGUUGGUGGGGUAAAGGCCUACCAAGGCGACGAUCCGUAACUGGUCUGAGAGGAUAAUCAGUCACACUAAAACAGAGACACGGCCCAGACUCCUACGGGAGGCAGCAGUGGGGAAUAUUGGACAAUGGGCGAAAGCCUGAUCCAACCAUGCCGCGUGUAAGAAAGAGGUCUUCGGAUUGUAAAACACUUUAAGUAGGGAGGAAGGGCAGUAAGUUAAUACCUUGCUGUUUUGACGUUACCAACAGAAUAAGCACCGGCUAACUUCGUG
rnacentral:rRNA from 1 species